GGAGAACACACACACAGCUCUGAUGCCUUGUCACAGAGUUCCAGGUGCAGGGUAAUUGCCCAAUGGAAGGUGGAAUUUCCUGGGAAAUUUCCAUGCUGUCCUUGUGUUGUGACUUCUGAGAGGUCCUCCAGCACAUUCUCUGGAGGACCCCUAGGUACCUCUGGAUAACGGAAGAUCUAGGCCAUUAUUUGUUACGACCCAGAAUAAGUUUCAACCGUCUGACAAAACUAGUUGAAGAAGCUCUGUGAAAAGAAAAGACAAGAUGAAAUUGUACAAAUGGUUUCGUGGAGCCAGGACCCUCAAAAUCAUCCCUCAUGCUUUUUUUCAAAACAGCAUUUGAAUAAAUAUGAAAUAUUUAAUAGCUGCUAUAAUGGUCAUAAAUGAAUUUGCACAACUAUUAUUAUC